rnacentral:lncRNA from 1 species
AUGUGGCCUAUAGCACUUCUUAGUGUCUCUGUGGGCUUAAACAGUAUUUUGAUUUUUUUGUUUUCAGGUCUUCCUACCAUUUCCCAACAUUUAUUGCUUAAAAAUAUUUUAGUGAAAAGUGUCUCUGAAUCAAAUUUUAAUUUCCAUAAAUGUCUUGGGCAAUGGCUACAAAUUAACACGCAAUUUCAACUGCUAUUCUUUGGCAGUAUGUUCAGAGAAAGGGUGACCAGAUCUUCAUACCAGGAAUUAUUAAGGGCUGCCAAUGCGUUUCCUAGUGAGAAGCACUUAACUUUCCAGUGUUCAUCAUGA